rnacentral:rRNA from 1 species
CCUACGGGUGGCUGCAGUGGGGGAUAUUGCACAAUGGGGGGAACUCUGAUGCAGCGACGCCGCGUGAGCGAAGAAGUCCCUCGGUAUGUUAAGCUCUAUCAGCAGGGAAGAAAAUGACGGUACCUGACUAAGAAGCCCCGGCUAAAUACGAUACAGCAGCCGCGGUAAUACGUAUGGGGCCAGCGUUAUCCGGAUUUAGUGGGUGUAAAGGGAGCGCAGGCGGCCGGUCAAGUCUGGUGUGAAACCCCGGGGCCCAACCCCGGGCCUGCAUUGGAAACUGGCGGGCUGGAGUGUCGGUGGGGUAGGCGGAAUUCCUGGUGUAGCGGUGAAAUGCGUAGAUAUUAGGAGGAACACCGGUGGCGAAGGCGGCCUACUGGACGAUGACUGACGCUGAGGCUCGAAAGCGUGGGGAGCGAACAGGAUUAGAUACCCGAGUAGUC